rnacentral:rRNA from 1 species
GGCAGACGGGUGAGUAACACGUGAACGACCUACCCUUGAGUGGGGAAUAACACCGCGAAAGCGGUGCUAAUACCGCAUAAAAUCUUAGGGCUGCAUGGCCUGGAGAUCAAAAGCGCAAGUUGCUUGAGGAGGGGUUCGCGGCUGAUUAGCUAGUUGGUGAGGUAACGGCCCACCAAGGCAACGAUCAGUAGCCGGCCUGAGAGGGCGAACGGCCACACUGGAACUGAGACACGGUCCAGACUCCUACGGGAGGCAGCAGUGGGGAAUUUUGCGCAAUGGGCGAAAGCCUGACGCAGCAACGCCGCGUGGAGGAUGAAGGCCUUCGGGUCGUAAACUCCUGUCGAUGGGGAAGAAGUACUAGCGAUAGUAUUGACUGUACCCGUUGAGGAAGCCACGGCUAACUCCGUGCCAGCAGCCGCGGUAAUACGGAGGUGGCAAGCGUUGUUCGGAAUUACUGGGCGUAAAGGGCGCGUAGGCGGCAUUACAAGUCAGAUGUGAAAGCCCCGGGCUUAACCUGGGAAUUGCAUCUGAGACUGUAUAG